rnacentral:snRNA from 1 species
GGAUUUGAUACCUGGCUCUGACUCUUGACUCCAGCUUCCUGCUAAUCCAGGUCCUCAGAAGCAGAGAUGAUGGCUCAGGUGACUGGGUUUUGGAAGUGAAUGUGCAUUUUGGCUUAUCUGGCUGGUUAGGCGGGUGUCUCCUCCUCCCUUACUGCUCCAUGUGUGUCCCUCCAGAAGCUGCAAACUUGGUUGAAGAAGACAACCUUCCCCAUGAGAGGAGGGCCAGUCUUUGGUCAAGUAGCUGCACUCCCCUGCUAGAACCUCUAAACAAGCUCUCAAAUGACUGGGUUCCUACCACCCACGUGGGAAACCUGUAUUGAGUUCUGGCUCUCAUCUUUGGCCUAGCCUGUGCUGUUACAGGCAUUUGGA